rnacentral:rRNA from 1 species
UUAUAUCGGAUAACGCAUAUGUGCUUGAAAUGCCUUAUGCAUUAAACGGAUUCGUCCGCCCAAGGAUGGGUCUGCGGCCUAUCAGGUAGUAGUGGGUGUAAUGUACCUACUAGCCAACAACGGGUACGGGUUGUGAGAGCAAGAGCCCGGAGAUGGAUUCUGAGACAUGAAUCCAGGCCCUACGGGGCGCAGCAGGCGCGAAAACUUUACAAUGCGGGAAACCGUGAUAAGGGAACACCGAGUGCCAGCAUCAUAUGCUGGCUGUCCAGAUGUGUAAACUACAUCUGUUAGCAAGGGCCGGGCAAGACCGGUGCCAGCCGCCGCGGUAACACCGGCGGCCCGAGUGGUGACCGUUAUUAUUGGGUCUAAAGGGUCCGUAGCCGGUUUGGUCAGUCCUCCGGGAAAUCUGAUAGCUUAACUGUUAGGCUUUCGGGGGAUGCUGCCAGGCUUGGAACCGGGAGAGGUAAGAGGUACUACAGGGGUAGGAGUGAAAUCUUGUAAUCCCUGUGAGACCACCUGUGGCGAAGGCGUCUUACCAGAACGGGUUCGACGGUGAGGGACGAAAGCUGGGGGCACGAACCGGAUUAGAUACCCGGGUAGUCCCAGCCGUAGACUAUGCUCGCUUAGGUGU